rnacentral:rRNA from 1 species
GACGAACGCUGGCGGCGUGCUUAACACAUGCAAGUCGAACGGAAAGGCCCUGCUUUUGUGGGGUGCUCGAGUGGCGAACGGGUGAGUAACACGUGUGUAACCUGCCCUUGACUUUGGGAUAACUUCAGGAAACUGGGGCUAAUACCGGAUAGGAUCUCCUGCUGCAUGGUGUGGGUUGGAAAGUUUCGGCGGUUGGGGAUGGACUCGCGGCUUAUCAGCUUGUUGGUGGGGUAGUGGCUUACCAAGGGUUUGACGGGUAGCCGGCCUGUGAGGGUGAACGGGGACAAUGGGACUGAGAUACGGCCCAGAAGCCUACGGGAGGCAGCAGUGGGGAAUAUUGCACAAUGGGAGGAAGCGUGAUGAAGAAACGCCGCGUGCGGGAUGACGGCCUACGGGUUGAAAACAGAUUUCGCAUGUGACGAAGAGUGAGUGACGGUAAUGGGUAAAGAAGCACCGGCUAACUACGUG